AUUGAACGCUGGCGGCAUGCCUUACACAUGCAAGUCGAACGGCAGCACGGGGGCAACCCUGGUGGCGAGUGGCGAACGGGUGAGUAAUGCAUCGGAACGUGCCCAGUAGUGGGGGAUAGCUCGGCGAAAGCCGGAUUAAUACCGCAUACGACCUACGGGUGAAAGCGGGGGACCGCAAGGCCUCGCGCUAUUGGAGCGGCCGAUGUCAGAUUAGGUUGUUGGUGGGGUAAAAGCCUACCAAGCCGACGAUCUGUAGCUGGUCUGAGAGGACGACCAGCCACACUGGGACUGAGACACGGCCCAGACUCCUACGGGAGGCAGCAGUGGGGAAUUUUGGACAAUGGGCGAAAGCCUGAUUCAGCCAUGCCGCGUGCGGGAAGGAGGCCUUCGGGUUGUAAACUGCUUUUGUACGGAGCGAAAAGGCUCUCCCUAAUACGGAGGGCUCAUGACGGUACCGUAAGAAUAAGCACCGGCUAACUACGUGCCAGCAGCCGCAGUAACAC
rnacentral:rRNA from 1 species